CCGAGUGCGGGCCUCGCGGCCCAACCUCCCACCCUUGUCUCUAUACACCUGUUGCUUUGGCGGGCCCACCGGGGCCACCUGGUCGCCGGGGGACGCACGUCCCCGGGCCCGCGCCCGCCGAAGCGCUCUGUGAACCCUGAUGAAGAUGGGCUGUCUGAGUGCUAUGAAAAUUGUCA
rnacentral:misc_RNA from 1 species